UGUUCGUGUCUGUUUGUCACCUUUUGC
rnacentral:piRNA from 1 species